rnacentral:rRNA from 1 species
UACGUAGGGUGCAAGCGUUGUCCGGAAUUAUUGGGCGUAAAGAGCUCGUAGGCGGUUUGUCGCGCCGAAUGUGAAAACCCGGGGCUCAACCCCGGGCCUGCAUUCGAUACGGGCAGACUAGAGUUCGGUAGGGGAGUCUGGAAUUCCUGGUGUAGCGGUGAAAUGCGCAGAUAUCAGGAGGAACACCGGUGGCGAAGGCGGGUCUCUGGGCCGAUACUGACGCUGAGGAGCGAAAGCGUGGGGAGCGAACAGG